rnacentral:lncRNA from 1 species
AGGACAGAGCACGGGGAAGGGCCCCCCCCCAGCACCGAUGUUUGAGGGCGUCUACAACAACUCCCGGAUGCUGCACUUCCUGACGGCCGUCGUGGUGAGAUGUGGGGCGCUGUGGGGCCGGGGGGGGGGAGCUGCUAUGGGGCGGCUGUGGGGCUGAGGGGCGUUGGGAGUCGUGCCGUGGGUCUGGGCUUCGCUAUGGGGCGCGUUAUGGGGCGCGUUGCAGAUGUCGGGCUGGAUACGGGUCAGGAUGUGGGGCUGGGGCUUGCCGUGGGUCACGCUGUGGGUCAGGGUUGCGCUGUGGGUCGCGUUAUGGGGCUGGGUCGUGCUGUGGGGCUGGGUUGCUUUAUGGGUCUUGCUGUGGGUCAUGUUGUGGGUGUUGCUGUGGGUCUGGGCUACGCUGUGGGUCGUACUGUGGGUCCAGGCCACGCUAUGGGGCGCGCUGUGGGUCUGGGUCCCGCUGUGGGUCUCGCUAUGGGUCUGGGUCUCGCUAUGGGUGUCGCUAUGGGGCUGAGUCCCGCUGUGGGCCUGGGUCCCGCUGUGGGUCCCGCUAUGGGUCUGGGUCGCGCUAUGGGUCUGGGUCCCGCUGUGGGUCACGCUGUGGGUUCUGUUAUGGGUCUGGGUCCUGCUGUGGGUCGCGCUAUGGGUCUGGGUCCUGCUGUGGGUCGCGCUAUGGGUCUGGGUCCUGCUGUGGGUCACGCUGUGGGUCUGGGUCCUGCUAUGGGUCUGGGUCAUGCUUUGGGUCUUGUUAUGGGUCUGGGUUGCGCUGUAGGUCCCGCUAUGGGUCUGGGUCCCACUGUGGGUCCCGCUAUGGGUCUGGGUCCCGCUGUGGGUCGCGCUAUGGGUCUGGGUCACGCUGUGGGUCUCGCUAUGGGGCUGGGUUGUAUUUUGAGUCACGUUGUGGGUCUCGCUGUGGGGCUGGGUCUUGCUGUGGGUCACGCUGUGGGUUCUGUUAUAGGUCUGGGUUCUGCUCUGGGUCUCGCUAUGGGUCUGGGUCCUGCUGUGGGUCCCGCUAUGGGUCUGGGUCCCGCUAUGGGUCUGGGUCCUGCUCUGGGUCCUGCUGUGGGUCUGGGCCCCGCUGUGGGUCCCGCUGUGGGUCGCGCUAUGGGUCUGGGUCCUGCUGUGGGUCCCGCUAUGGGUCUGGGUCCCGCUAUGGGUCUGGGUCCUGCUCUGGGUCGCGCUGUGGGUCUGGGUCAUGUUGUGGGUCCCGCUGUGGGUCUGGGUCCCGCUGUGGGUCUGGGUACCGCUAUGGGUCUGGGUCCCGCUGUGGGUCGCGCUGUGGGUUCUGUUAUAGGUCUGGGUCAUGCUAUGGGUUCGGCUAUGGGUCUGGGUCUCGCUGUGGGUCGCGCUAUGGGUCUGGGUCGCGCUAUGGGUCUGGGUCGCGCUAUGGGUCUGGGCCCCGCUGUGGGCCCCGCUGUGGGUUGCGCUGUGGGUCGCGCUGUGGGUCUGGGUCGCGCUAUGGGUCUGGGUCCCGCUGUGGGUCGCGCUAUGGGUCUGGGUCCCGCCGUGGGUCGCGCUAUGGGUCUGCCCCACACAUCGGCAGGGCUCGACGUGCCUGGUGCGCGUGCGCAGCGGCAGCACCUUCGAGGGGAUCUUCCGCACGCUCAGCUCCAAGCCACCCCUGACCCUGGGACCUGCUCAAGUCCUGACCUUGUGACCCUUUCUGACCCCAUGACCUUUGAACCUCCUGACCCCGUGACCCCUGACCUCAUGAUCCCGGAUCCUGUGACCUCAUCAUCUCUUGACCUUGUGACCUUCUGACUUGGUGACCCCUGACCUCAUGUCCCCUCCUGACCCCAUGACCCCACGACUCUUCCUGACCCUGUGACCCCUCCUGACCCCGUGACCCUUGACCUCCUGACCCGUGACCCUUUCUGACCCCGUGCCCCUUGAACCUCCUGACCCCAUGACCCUUGACCUCAUGACCCCUGACCUUCUGCCCCCUCCUGACCCGUGACCCCUCGUGCCCCCUGCCCUUGUGACCACCUGACCCCGUGACCCGUGACCUCUUGACCCCGUGGCUCCACGUGAGCUUGUGAUCCCUUCUGACCCCUGACCUCUGACCCCUGACCCCUCUUGACCCCGUGACCCCUGAUCUUCUGAGGCUGUGACCUCGUGACCCCAUGACCACGUGACCCCGUCACUUCCUGACCACGUGACCCCGUCACUUCCUGACCAGGUGACCCUGCCACCUGACCCCUGACCAUGUGACCCUGUCACCUGACCCCGUGCCCCCUGGCCCCGUGACCCCACCUGACCCUGUGACCCUUGACCUCUGAUCUCCUGACCUUGUGGCUCCUCUUGACCCUGUGAUCCUGUCACUUCCUGACCAUGUGACCCUGUCACCUGACCCCUGACCAUGUGACCUUGUCACCUGACCCCGUGCCCCUUGGCCCGGUGACCCCACCUGACCCUGUCACCUCUGACCUCUGAUCUUCUGACCUUGUGGCUCCUCUUGACCCCGUGAUCCUUCACUUCCUGACCAUGUGACCCUGCCACCUGACCCCUGACCAUGUGACCCUGUCACCUGACCCCAUGCCCCCUGGCCCGGUGACCCCACCUGACCCUGUGACCCUUGACCUCUGAUCUCCUGACCUUGUGGCUCCUCCUGACCCCAUGACGCCGUCACUUCCUGUCCCUGUGACCUGCUGACCAUGUGACCCUGUCACCUGACCCUGUGACCCCUGACCUUUGAUCUCUUGACCUUGUGGCUCCUCCUGACCCUGUGACCUCCUGACCAUGUGACCUUGCCACCUGUCCC